GAACAAAUGCAUCAAAUCUCACUCGGAGUAUAAGGAGAACCAUAUUCCAGGCAGUCAAAUGCUGCAAAAAACUGAACGAGAUUGCACAGGAUAUUGGGGAUGCUGGUCUGGGUAUGGCUGUUGUUUGGGAAAGGAAUAGCUCCAUCAAGACUGUUGGCAACAAAGCAUUACUGAACAAGGUCAUAAAGGUCAUGAGUCAGACUUGCAGUAACCAUGGUGAUGAAUGUGUCCCUGGGUCUUCUUUGUCAGAUGA